CUACGGAGGGUGCAAGCGUUACUCGGAAUCACUGGGCGUAAAGCGCGCGCAGGCGGUCUGAUAAGUUGGAUGUGAAAUCCUAUGGCUCAACCAUAGAACUGCAUCCAAAACUGUCAAACUAGAGUCUGGGAGAGGAAGAUGGAAUUAGUUGUGUAGGGGUAAAAUCCGUAGAGAUAACUAGGAAUACCAAAAGCGAAGGCGAUCUUCUGGAACAGUACUGACGCUGAGGCGCGAAAGCGUGGGGAGCAAACAGGAUUAGAAACCCCAGUAGUCC
rnacentral:rRNA from 1 species